AGUUUCAAGACAUGGAUAUGAGGAGAGAGGGGUUGUCCAUGCUAUUAUUACCUAACCUUAACAAACUAGAUGUACAUGAUAGGAUGAAACUGUAGGGGUGCAAGGAGCUGGGGUUUUGUCCAAUCUGCUAAAGAUCCGGUUGCUAUUCAUCGUCCCCAUGUGAUGAUUAUUGCGGAAACCAAGGUUCGGACCUCAGAAAUGUCUUGAUCAACUUCCUUUUGAUUCUUGGAAGGACACCAAUACCUUGGGCUGAGAGGUGGCUUGCGGCUUCUGUGGAACUCAGCUACGGUCACGAUUGAGGAGCUUUGCAACACUGAACAAGAGAUCCAAGUUCUUGUUAAGAUACGGGGCUCUGGGAAAAAAAUGGACUAAAGCAGCGAAGAAGAAGAAAGAGCAGAGGAUGGGGGAGGUGAGGAAGGGAAAGCAAUGUGUUUUUUCUUGCAUAAAGUGAAGAGACACGUCAGAUUCUCGAUCUUAGAGUCUCCAAAGCAUUAUUACAUUUUUAUGUCAAGACUAAUUUGCCCUUGUUCUUUUUUGUAAGCCUUACAUUGUUAUCACAGAGCUUCAAUUAUUUGUUGUCUUGUACUCUUUUAAUAAUUUAGCAAUAAAAAAAUGUUUUGAUAAUUUCAAAAUAAUAAUACAA